CCAGGCCAAGCUACCACCUCACUGUGCCACCAGGAGAUGUAAAGUCCACGCCCGCAGCAUCCUGAGCGUCUUCUCCCGGGCGGCUCCACAUCCCGCGCUUGUGGGAAGCGGGGCGUGCGGUGCCAGCCCGCAGUGCCGAGACUUCCACCCACGCACCUACUCCUUCUCCGCUUGCUGCAGACACCGCCUAUCGGAAAACCGCGUGAAGGGAAGCAGGCAAUGAGCAAAUGAAUCUGGCUGAAUUAUUGUUGGGGAAUUCAUUCGAACCAUUUAGGCCAUGAAUGAAAAAGAAAAAGGAAAUCCAAACCCAAGGAGCGCGGGGUGCAGGGCCACUUUCUUUUUUGGGUGCUGGGGAAGGGGACAGAGAAGACCUCUGAGUUGCUGCAAGGGCGCUGUGCCACAGAAAGAAGGCGGGCAGGCAUUUACUGCCGUGACAGCGGCUCCCAGAAGCUCCUGCCCCCUUGACAGCUGUCGCUUGGGCAGCCCGGGGAGACGAAUUGUCCUCAUUUCUGGAGCCAGAGGACGCAGGAAAUUAGCCAGGUUGCGAGUUGCAAAGCGGCCGCCGCGGCGC